rnacentral:rRNA from 1 species
GGUUAAGCGACUAAGCGUACACGGUGGAUGCCCUGGCAGUCAGAGGCGAUGAAGGACGUGCUAAUCUGCGAUAAGCGUCGGUAAGGUGAUAUGAACCGUUAUAACCGGCGAUUUCCGAAUGGGGAAACCCAGUGUGUUUCGACACACUAUCAUUAACUGAAUCCAUAGGUUAAUGAGGCGAACCGGGGGAACUGAAACAUCUAAGUACCCCGAGGAAAAGAAAUCAACCGAGAUUCCCCCAGUAGCGGCGAGCGAACGGGGAGGAGCCCAGAGCCUGAAUCAGUGUGUGUGUUAGUGGAAGCGUCUGGAAAGGCGCGCGAUACAGGGUGACAGCCCCGUACACAAAAAUGCACAUACUGUGAGCUCGAUGAGUAGGGCGGGACACGUGGUAUCCUGUCUGAAUAUGGGGGGACCAUCCUCCAAGGCUAAAUACUCCUGACUGACCGAUAGUGAACCAGUACCGUGAGGGAAAGGCGAAAAGAACCCCGGCGAGGGGAGUGAAAAAGAACCUGAAACCGUGUACGUACAAGCAGUGGGAGCACAGAGCAAUCUGUGUGACUGCGUACCUUUUGUAUAAUGGGUCAGCGACUUAUAUUCUGUAGCAAGGUUAACCGAAUAGGGGAGCCGAAGGGAAACCGAGUCUUAACUGGGCGUUAAGUUGCAGGGUAUAGACCCGAAACCCGGUGAUCUAGCCAUGGGCAGGUUGAAGGUUGGGUAACACUAACUGGAGGACCGAACCGACUAAUGUUGAAAAAUUAGCGGAUGACUUGUGGCUGGGGGUGAAAGGCCAAUCAAACCGGGAGAUAGCUGGUUCUCCCCGAAAGCUAUUUAGGUAGCGCCUCGUGAAUUCAUCUCCGGGGGUAGAGCACUGUUUCGGCAAGGGGGUCAUCCCGACUUACCAACCCGAUGCAAACUGCGAAUACCGGAGAAUGUUAUCACGGGAGACACACGGCGGGUGCUAACGUCCGUCGUGAAGAGGGAAACAACCCAGACCGCCAGCUAAGGUCCCAAAGUCAUGGUUAAGUGGGAAACGAUGUGGGAAGGCCCAGACAGCCAGGAUGUUGGCUUAGAAGCAGCCAUCAUUUAAAGAAAGCGUAAUAGCUCACUGGUCGAGUCGGCCUGCGCGGAAGAUGUAACGGGGCUAAACCAUGCACCGAAGCUGCGGCAGCGACGCUGAUGCGUUGUUGGGUAGGGGAGCGUUCUGUAAGCCUGCGAAGGUGUGCUGUGAGGCAUGCUGGAGGUAUCAGAAGUGCGAAUGCUGACAUAAGUAACGAUAAAGCGGGUGAAAAGCCCGCUCGCCGGAAGACCAAGGGUUCCUGUCCAACGUUAAUCGGGGCAGGGUGAGUCGACCCCUAAGGCGAGGCCGAAAGGCGUAGUCGAUGGGAAACAGGUUAAUAUUCCUGUACUUGGUGUUACUGCGAAGGGGGGACGGAGAAGGCUAUGUUGGCCGGGCGACGGUUGUCCCGGUUUAAGCGUGUAGGCUGGUUUUCCAGGCAAAUCCGGAAAAUCAAGGCUGAGGCGUGAUGACGAGGCACUACGGUGCUGAAGCAACAAAUGCCCUGCUUCCAGGAAAAGCCUCUAAGCAUCAGGUAACAUCAAAUCGUACCCCAAACCGACACAGGUGGUCAGGUAGAGAAUACCAAGGCGCUUGAGAGAACUCGGGUGAAGGAACUAGGCAAAAUGGUGCCGUAACUUCGGGAGAAGGCACGCUGAUAUGUAGGUGAAGUCCCUCGCGGAUGGAGCUGAAAUCAGUCGAAGAUACCAGCUGGCUGCAACUGUUUAUUAAAAACACAGCACUGUGCAAACACGAAAGUGGACGUAUACGGUGUGACGCCUGCCCGGUGCCGGAAGGUUAAUUGAUGGGGUUAGCGCAAGCGAAGCUCUUGAUCGAAGCCCCGGUAAACGGCGGCCGUAACUAUAACGGUCCUAAGGUAGCGAAAUUCCUUGUCGGGUAAGUUCCGACCUGCACGAAUGGCGUAAUGAUGGCCAGGCUGUCUCCACCCGAGACUCAGUGAAAUUGAACUCGCUGUGAAGAUGCAGUGUACCCGCGGCAAGACGGAAAGACCCCGUGAACCUUUACUAUAGCUUGACACUGAACAUUGAGCCUUGAUGUGUAGGAUAGGUGGGAGGCUUUGAAGUGUGGACGCCAGUCUGCAUGGAGCCGACCUUGAAAUACCACCCUUUAAUGUUUGAUGUUCUAACGUUGACCCGUAAUCCGGGUUGCGGACAGUGUCUGGUGGGUAGUUUGACUGGGGCGGUCUCCUCCUAAAGAGUAACGGAGGAGCACGAAGGUUGGCUAAUCCUGGUCGGACAUCAGGAGGUUAGUGCAAUGGCAUAAGCCAGCUUGACUGCGAGCGUGACGGCGCGAGCAGGUGCGAAAGCAGGUCAUAGUGAUCCGGUGGUUCUGAAUGGAAGGGCCAUCGCUCAACGGAUAAAAGGUACUCCGGGGAUAACAGGCUGAUACCGCCCAAGAGUUCAUAUCGACGGCGGUGUUUGGCACCUCGAUGUCGGCUCAUCACAUCCUGGGGCUGAAGUAGGUCCCAAGGGUAUGGCUGUUCGCCAUUUAAAGUGGUACGCGAGCUGGGUUUAGAACGUCGUGAGACAGUUCGGUCCCUAUCUGCCGUGGGCGCUGGAGAACUGAGGGGGGCUGCUCCUAGUACGAGAGGACCGGAGUGGACGCAUCACUGGUGUUCGGGUUGUCAUGCCAAUGGCACUGCCCGGUAGCUAAAUGCGGAAGAGAUAAGUGCUGAAAGCAUCUAAGCACGAAACUUGCCCCGAGAUGAGUUCUCCCUGACUCCUUGAGAGUCCUGAAGGAACGUUGAAGACGACGACGUUGAUAGGCCGGGUGUGUAAGCGCAGCGAUGCGUUGAGCUAACCGGUACUAAUGAACCGUGAGGCUUAACCUU